GCGGAAGAAGAACCAACAGGGAUUGCCUCAGUAACGGCGAGUGAAGCGGCAACAGCUCAAAUUUGAAAUCUGGCCCCCAGGCCCGAGUUGUAAUUUGUAGAGGAUGAUUCUGGCGACGCGCCUUCCGAGUUCCCUGGAACGGGACGCCAUAGAGGGUGAGAGCCCCGUCCGGUCGUGCGCCUAGCCUCUGUGAAUCUCCUUCGACGAGUCGAGUAGUUUGGGAAUGCUGCUCUAAAUGGGAGGUAUACGUCUUCUAAAGCUAAAUACCGGCCAGAGACCGAUAGCGCACAAGUAGAGUGAUCGAAAGAUGAAAAGCACUUUGAAAAGAGGGUUAAAAAGUACGUGAAAUUGCUGAAAGGGAAGCGCUUAUGACCAGACUUGGGCGUGGUGAAUCAUCCGGCGUUCUCGCCGGUGCACUUUGCCUGUCCAGGCCAGCAUCAGUUCUCCCCGGGGGAUAAAGGCUUCGGGAAUGUAGCUCCUUCGGGAGUGUUAUAGACCGUUGCGUAAUACCCUGGGGGGGACUGAGGUACGCGUUCUGCAAGGAUGCUGGCGUAAUGGUCAUCAGUGACCCGUCUUGAAACACGGACCAAGGAGUCGUCUUCGUAUGCGAGUGUUCGGGUGUCAAACCCCUACGCGUAAUGAAAGUGAACGUAGGAGAGAGCUUCGGCGCAUCUCCGACCGAUCCUGAUGUUCUCGGAUGGAUUUGAGUAAGAGCAUACGGGGCCGGACCCGAAAGAAGGUGAACUAUGCCUGUAUAGGGUGAAGCCAGAGGAAACUCUGGUGGAGGCUCGCAGCGGUUCUGACGUGCAAAUCGAUCGUCAAAUAUGGGCAUGGGGGCGAAAGACUAAUCGAACCUUCUAGUAGCUGGUUUCCGCCGAAGUUUCCCUCAGGAUAGCAGUGUUGAACUCAGUUUUAUGAGGUAAAGCGAAUGAUUAGGGACCCGGGGGCGCUUUUUAGCCUUCAUCCAUUCUCAAACUUUAAAUAUGUAAGAAGCCCUUGUUGCUUAAUUGAACGUGGGCAUUCGAAUGUAUCAACACUAGUGGGCCAUUUUUGGUAAGCAGAACUGGCGAUGCGGGAUGAACCGAACGCGAGGUUAAGGUGCCAGAGUAGACGCUCAUCAGACACCACAAAAGGUGUUAGUACAUCUUGACAGCAGGACGGUGGCCAUGGAAGUCGGAAUCCGCUAAGGACUGUGUAACAACUCACCUGCCGAAUGUACUAGCCCUGAAAAUGGAUGGCGCUCAAGCGUCUCACCCAUACCUCGCCCUCAGGGUAGGACCGAUGCCCUGAGGAGUAGGCGGACGUGGAGGUCAGUGACGAAGCCUAGGGCGGAGCCCCCGGGUAUCCCCC
rnacentral:rRNA from 1 species